rnacentral:lncRNA from 1 species
AUAGCAGAGCUGCCUAUCCUCACUUCAGCAUCCCAUGGGAAGAGUCCUGUUCACAGAUACAAUGGUGCUGCUGUCCACAUCUCAGGAGGAGUUGGUGAGGCUGGUUGACGGAUACUGGAAAUAGAGCGCAAAGGAAUAGUGAGAUGCAGCCCAAAGAGACUGAUAGACAAUGAGAACAAGUUUUGAAGACUGAGGAGGGCAGCGUCUGAAACUCUAGAUGAGAGGCCUUCAAUCUUCAACUCGGGUUGAGAGGGAGCUGGAUCAGAUCAAAUCAUAUUUUCUUUGGUAAGUGAUCUGUUCUCCAUAUGUAUCAACU